UACGUACGAGGCGAGCGUUAUCCGGAAUUACUGGGCGUAAAGCGUGCGCAGGCGGUGAUGUAAGACAGAUGUGAAAUCCCCGGGCUCAACCUGGGAACUGCAUUUGUGACUGCAUCGCUGGAGUGCGGCAGAGGGGGAUGGAAUUCCGCGUGUAGCAGUGAAAUGCGUAGAUAUGCGGAGGAACACCGAUGGCGAAGGCAAUCCCCUGGGCCUGCACUGACGCUCAUGCACGAAAGCGUGGGGAGCAAACAGG
rnacentral:rRNA from 1 species